AGUAUGCUCACUAUGCUUCAUGUUAGUAACUCACUUAACGAUAUAAAUCAAGUGAUCAAUCCAACAAAUAAUGAUAAAGAUUUUCUUUUUGAUUUUCAUAAUAGCAUUUCUUGCUACUGAAUUGCAUGCAUGGUGCAGAGGUGGGGGUGAAGAUUGUAACAAACUUGUUUAUCCUUGUUGCAAUCCUUGGCAUUGCACUAAUUGGUUUGGAAGGGGAAAGUGUGUCUCAGAUUAACCAGUAACACGAAGUCCGUAUGCAGAUGCUAACAGUCUUGCGGACAUUUACAGUAUAAUGCAAGAAAGAAGAGUCGCAGGAAAUAAAUAAUCAACGAAUAUAAUUUUUUUAAAUGUCCUUUAAUAUCCAUUAAUAGUUUUUUUUUAAUUAUUGUACAAAAUUUUAACUAUGAAUGAAUGAAUGAAUAAUUGUUCCAGUGUAUAGCCGCAUGUACGACCUUUUACACUUUUUGCCUUUACAUCGCAACUGCUUCCUUUCUUUAUCUGCUUUUCAUUGUGCGGCUGUGGCCCGACUUGUGCUUAUACUGUACUGUACCAUUACGGUGAUACCCUAUCCUCCACCUUGGCUGUGGGGGUAUAGGGGCAAGGAAGACCACAGAGAAAACCAUUGCCAGUACAGUUCGGUUUGGGUGAAGCUCCAGUGGUCGAUAAAAUUCCCAUUUUACCGAUCACUGGAUCUUCAUCCCGCGCCUAACGGACAGAGACCUUCGUUCGAACCCAACGCGUGGCUAAACGGUCACCCAGCCAAGUAGUGGCCAUGCUCAAUGCUACUUAACUUCGGUGAUCGCCCGAGCCACGCGUGUGCCGAACGGCUGCCUCAGCCGCUUACAAAAUUUUAACUAUUUACUUUUCAAAAACUAUAAGUACCUCACAUUCAUAUCAGUUGAGAUUAAAUGUAACUAAAUUACA